rnacentral:lncRNA from 1 species
GAGCCGCUCCCCGCCGCCAAUGGCCACCACGGCCAGCGCCGACCUUGGCCUAAAUUGGCGCAAUUCCGAGCUCCUCCAUCCUCUCUUUCUUCACUAGUGGCGUUUCCCAGCCACGGCGAAGCCCUCCCCCAUCUUUCUUUGCUCUCCCCUUCACCGGAGCACGCAUGCCAUCGUUGCUCGUAGUCGCCGUCUGCCACAGUAGGGGGCGCACUCGCUCCCAUCCUCCUCGAGGACCGCAUCCUACCUGGAUGGACGCGGCUCGUCGCCCCGGUCAAGCUAGUGGCUGGACCUCGGCUGAAGAUGGCCUUUGUCACUGGGAGUCCUCGCCGGUGCGCGUGGCCUCGCCUUUGCCUCUGUCGCCGCGAGGAAGAAGAAGGGAGAGCGGGAGGAGAGAGAGGAUGGGGUGGGACCCGCCUGUAAGUGCCACAAGGCCUUGUCCAGCUGGAUAAGUGGACGCGAAAAGCCACAAAUGCCCUUUCCUUUUUGGAAAACGUAUUUCCAGAGAAGGCGCUUUCUGCUAGCCAGCCAGGGACCUGUUUGUCGAAGUUUCUUUUACAAAUUGGUCCCUGAACUUCGUCUAGCCAUAUCUUUGCACCCGUGCCUCCGAUUCAGGUAAAACCAACGCCCACGUCUUUGCCUCGUCGAGCCCGUUCUAUGGGUAUCAUUUUCAUUAUGUUGUUAUAUGUUUAAAAUGACCAUUUUGCCCUUGCCUCCAAUCAGCCCCCUCCGAGAGAGAACAUUUUUCGGCGAUCCUUUCCGCGGACUCUCCACACUUCUUCCCGGAGUAUUCUUCAACCCCCAGGGCAAGCCGACCAUCUAAUAUAUGCCCUAAAGCAUUGCUCUGUGUUAUUAUUGUGUGUUUAAUUAAUAAUUGUGCCUGUGAUAGGAAUAGUUAAACUUUUGUUAGAAUGCACCUACUCCUUACAUUACUUGCAUUAGUUUCCUAUGCGCUAAUUCAUAGUAAAUAAUUUAAAUGCCUAGUUGCUUCCCUUAUCAGUUAUUGUGGUAAACCUCAUGCUCACAUAAUGAACGUAGUCGGUUGAUCUAGAGUCACCUGUCCGGGCUUAUCCGUGCAGCCACAUUUGCGGGUAUGGGACGACCAUGACUUGGUCUGAUCGAGUGUUCUUUUAUCGGUACCACCAAAGAGGGAAGGUUAUGCGCGCGUGCUACCUUGGCCCGGUAGGCGGCGAUAACCUUGUGAGCCCAGUUGAGUUAUGUGGGUACCCGUCCCCGUUUGGGACAGUUUAGUUUGGCCACGACGGUAUCAGGUGUCAUGAGGACACAUGGGCCACCCAUGGUAGGACUCGGGGGGGGGGGAUGAAUGG